AUAAUAAUAUAAUUAAUACGCUGAUAUUUAAAUUACAAAAAUUAAGAUUUUAAUAUUCGAACUAAAGGAAUUCUCGCCCUGGCGCAAGGAUACAUCCUCCACUAAGCACGCGGUGGGGUUGCCGCGCGCGCGUAAGGAUUAUUUAUCACUCAAACUUCAGCUUCGAUCUUCGAUGUGAGGCGAAAAUAAGCAGAUUCUGUGAGCAGAUUCAGUGAGCAAGUUCUGUGAGCGUAUAAAGUCAAGGAAGUUCCCGCUUGACAGCAGAGAACUUUAUGUUUUCUGUGGACCAAGUCGUAGUAAACAGCCACAUCACCAUCUUCAGUGAUGCUCUGAAGCUGAUGUUUGCCUCGUACUACUGCUUCAACAUUUCAUACCCAGGAGACCAAGGAGCAACGCUAGAGUUUGUGCAAAGAUGCCUUUAAGAUGAACCCUGAGAAGGGAUCAAAAGUGGAGAAGACCACAUCAAGAAAGCUAAC